GCUGGGUGUGGUGGCGCACACCUGUAAUCCCAGCUACUUGAGAGGCUGAGACAGGAGAAUCACUUGAACCCAGGAGGUCCAGGUUGUGGUGAGCCAAGAUCAUGCCACUGCACUCCAGCCUGGGCAACAGAGUGAAACUCUGUCUCAA
ensembl:misc_RNA Metazoa_SRP Metazoan signal recognition particle RNA